rnacentral:misc_RNA from 1 species
CAAUUUUUGUAUGACCUAGUUUACUACGAUAAAGAAAAUAUUCACCCGGAUGUUAUUAAGGCUGUCUUGCCAUAUAUCAAGAAUCCAGAAUUUAACGCUGAGUUUAUAAUGUCAAAAUCAGCAGCUGCAGCUGGACUUUGCGCUUGGGUAAUAAACAUCGUUAAGUUUUACGAUGUGUACGUUGUGGUGGAACCGAAGAG